UCCAGAGUACGGCCAGACACGUGAAACCUGGUCGGAAUACGGGGGGACCACCCUCCAACCCUAAAUACUACCCAGUGACCGAUAGCGUAUAGUACUGUGAAGGAAAGGUGAAAAGCACCCCGGGAGGGGAGUGAAAAAGAACCUGAAACCCUGUGCCUACAAGCACCUAGAGCACGUCAAUGUGUGAUAGGGUACUUUUUGUAGAACGGUCCGGCGAGCGAUUGUAUGCAGCAAGGUUAAGGACUUAAGGUCUGGAGCCGAAGCGAAAGCGAGUUUGAAAAGGGCGUUAAGUUGCAUACAAUGGGCCCGAAACCGGGUGACCUACCCAUGGUCAGGUUGAAGUGGAAGUAAAAUUCCAUGGAGGACCGAACCGACCUCCGUUGAAAAGGCGGCGGAUGAACUGUGGGUAGCGGAGAAAUUCCAAUCGAACCCGGAGAUAGCUGGUUCUCCCCGAAAUAGUUUUAGGACUAGCCUCAAGUUAGAUACCUGGAGGUAAAGCACUGAAUAGCCUAGCGGCCGAGAGGUUAGCGAAGCUUAUCAAACUCAGAAUGCCAGAGUAUUGAUGCUUGGGAGUCAGACAGUGUCAGAUAAAUGUCAUUGUCAAAAGGGAAACAGCCCAGAUCUACAGCUAAGGUCCCAAAGUCAGGUUAAGUGGAAAACGAUGUGAAGAUACGUAGACAACCAGGAUGUUGGCUCAGAAGCAGCCACACAUUCAAAGAGUGCGUAAUAGCUCACUGGUCGAGCGUCUUUGCGCGGAGAAUUUAACGGGGCUAAACCUGACACCGAAGCUUAGGCAAU
rnacentral:rRNA from 1 species